UACGUAGGGCGCAAGCGUUAUCCGGAAUUAUUGGGCGUAAAGAGCUCGUAGGCGGUUUGUCGCGUCUGCCGUGAAAGUCCGGGGCUCAACUCCGGAUCUGCGGUGGGUACGGGCAGACUAGAGUGAUGUAGGGGGAGACUGGAAUUCCUGGUGUAGCGGUGAAAUGCGCAGAUAUCAGGAGGAACACCGAUGGCGAAGGCAGGUCUCUGGGCUGUAACUGACGCUGAGGAGCGAAAGCAUGGGGGAGCGAACAGG
rnacentral:rRNA from 1 species